rnacentral:rRNA from 1 species
UUGAACGCUGGCGGCAGGCCUAACACAUGCAAGUCGAGCGGAUGAAGGGAGCUUGCUCCUGGAUUCAGCGGCGGACGGGUGAGUAAUGCCUAGGAAUCUGCCUGGUAGUGGGGGAUAACGUCCGGAAACGGGCGCUAAUACCGCAUACGUCCUGAGGGAGAAAGUGGGGGAUCUUCGGACCUCACGCUAUCAGAUGAGCCUAGGUCGGAUUAGCUAGUUGGUGGGGUAAAGGCCUACCAAGGCGACGAUCCGUAACUGGUCUGAGAGGAUGAUCAGUCACACUGGAACUGAGACACGGUCCAGACUCCUACGGGAGGCAGCAGUGGGGAAUAUUGGACAAUGGGCGAAAGCCUGAUCCAGCCAUGCCGCGUGUGUGAAGAAGGUCUUCGGAUUGUAAAGCACUUUAAGUUGGGAGGAAGGGCAGUAAGUUAAUACCUUGCUGUUUUGAUGUUACCAACAGAAUAAGCACCGGCUAACUUCGUG